GUUUGAUCCUGGCUCAGGACGAACGCUGGCGGCGUGCUUAACACAUGCAAGUCGAGCGAUGAAGUUUCUUCGGAAAUGGAUUAGCGGCGAACGGGUGAGGAACACGUGAAGAAUCUGCCCUCCACUUUGGGAUAACACCGGGAAACCGGUGCUAAUACCGAAUAUUGAAACAUAAGUGGCAUCACUGAGUUUUGAAAGAAUUUCGGUGGAGGAUGACUUCGCGGCCUAUCAGCUAGUUGGUGAGGUAAUGGCUCACCAAGGCAACGACGGGUAGCCGGCCUGAGAGGGCGACCGGCCACACUGGGACUGAGACACGGCCCAGACUCCUACGGGAGGCAGCAGUGGGGAAUAUUGGGCAAUGGAGGAAACUCUGACCCAGCGACGCCGCGUGCGGGAUGAAGGCCUUCGGGUUGUAAACCGCUUUCAGUAGGGAAGAAGCGAAAGUGACGGUACCUACAAAAGAAGCACCGGCUAACUAUGUGCCAGCAGCCGCGGUAAUACAUAGGGUGCAAGCGUUGUCCGGAAUUAUUGGGCGUAAAGAGCUCGUAGGUCGUUUGUUACGUCGGAUGUGAAAACCUGAGGCUCAACCUCAGGCCUGCAUUCGAUACGGGCAAACUAGAGUUUGGUAGGGGAGACUGGAAUUCCUGGUGUAGCGGUGGAAUGCGCAGAUAUCAGGAGGAACACCAAUGGCGAAGGCAGGUCUCUGGGCCAAUACUGACACUGAGGAGCGAAAGUCUGGGGAGCGAACAGGAUUAGAUACCCUGGUAGUCCAGACCGUAAACGGUGGGCACUAGUUGUGGGAACCUUCCACGGUUUCUGCGACGCAGCUAACGCAUUAAGUGCCCCGCCUGGGGAGUA
rnacentral:rRNA from 1 species